rnacentral:tRNA from 1 species
GUAGCUCAGUACUUGAGCAUCUGCUUUGCAUGCAGAAGGUUCCAAGUUCAAUCCCUGGCA